rnacentral:rRNA from 1 species
UUAAGCGACUAAGCGUACACGGUGGAUGCCCUGGCAGUCAGAGGCGAUGAAGGACGUGCUAAUCUGCGAUAAGCGUCGGUAAGGUGAUAUGAACCGUUAUAACCGGCGAUUUCCGAAUGGGGAAACCCAGUGUGAUUCGUCACACUAUCAUUAACUGAAUCCAUAGGUUAAUGAGGCGAACCGGGGGAACUGAAACAUCUAAGUACCCCGAGGAAAAGAAAUCAACCGAGAUUCCCCCAGUAGCGGCGAGCGAACGGGGAGGAGCCCAGAGCCUGAAUCAGUGUGUGUGUUAGUGGAAGCGUCUGGAAAGGCGCGCGAUACAGGGUGACAGCCCCGUACACAAAAAUGCACAUGCUGUGAGCUCGAUGAGUAGGGCGGGACACGUGGUAUCCUGUCUGAAUAUGGGGGGACCAUCCUCCAAGGCUAAAUACUCCUGACUGACCGAUAGUGAACCAGUACCGUGAGGGAAAGGCGAAAAGAACCCCGGCGAGGGGAGUGAAAAAGAACCUGAAACCGUGUACGUACAAGCAGUGGGAGCACGCUUAGGCGUGUGACUGCGUACCUUUUGUAUAAUGGGUCAGCGACUUAUAUUCUGUAGCAAGGUUAACCGAAUAGGGGAGCCGAAGGGAAACCGAGUCUUAACUGGGCGUUAAGUUGCAGGGUAUAGACCCGAAACCCGGUGAUCUAGCCAUGGGCAGGUUGAAGGUUGGGUAACACUAACUGGAGGACCGAACCGACUAAUGUUGAAAAAUUAGCGGAUGACUUGUGGCUGGGGGUGAAAGGCCAAUCAAACCGGGAGAUAGCUGGUUCUCCCCGAAAGCUAUUUAGGUAGCGCCUCGUGAAUUCAUCUCCGGGGGUAGAGCACUGUUUCGGCAAGGGGGUCAUCCCGACUUACCAACCCGAUGCAAACUGCGAAUACCGGAGAAUGUUAUCACGGGAGACACACGGCGGGUGCUAACGUCCGUCGUGAAGAGGGAAACAACCCAGACCGCCAGCUAAGGUCCCAAAGUCAUGGUUAAGUGGGAAACGAUGUGGGAAGGCCCAGACAGCCAGGAUGUUGGCUUAGAAGCAGCCAUCAUUUAAAGAAAGCGUAAUAGCUCACUGGUCGAGUCGGCCUGCGCGGAAGAUGUAACGGGGCUAAACCAUGCACCGAAGCUGCGGCAGCGACNNNNNNNNNNNNNNNNNNNNNNNNNNNNNNNNNNNNNNNNNNNNNNNNNNNNNNNNNNNNNNNNAUGCUGGAGGUAUCAGAAGUGCGAAUGCUGACAUAAGUAACGAUAAAGCGGGUGAAAAGCCCGCUCGCCGGAAGACCAAGGGUUCCUGUCCAACGUUAAUCGGGGCAGGGUGAGUCGACCCCUAAGGCGAGGCCGAAAGGCGUAGUCGAUGGGAAACAGGUUAAUAUUCCUGUACUUGGUGUUACUGCGAAGGGGGGACGGAGAAGGCUAUGUUGGCCGGGCGACGGUUGUCCCGGUUUAAGCGUGUAGGCUGGUUUUCCAGGCAAAUCCGGAAAAUCAAGGCUGAGGCGUGAUGACGAGGCACUACGGUGCUGAAGCAACAAAUGCCCUGCUUCCAGGAAAAGCCUCUAAGCAUCAGGUAACAUCAAAUCGUACCCCAAACCGACACAGGUGGUCAGGUAGAGAAUACCAAGGCGCUUGAGAGAACUCGGGUGAAGGAACUAGGCAAAAUGGUGCCGUAACUUCGGGAGAAGGCACGCUGAUAUGUAGGUGAAGUCCCUCGCGGAUGGAGCUGAAAUCAGUCGAAGAUACCAGCUGGCUGCAACUGUUUAUUAAAAACACAGCACUGUGCAAACACGAAAGUGGACGUAUACGGUGUGACGCCUGCCCGGUGCCGGAAGGUUAAUUGAUGGGGUCAGCGCAAGCGAAGCUCUUGAUCGAAGCCCCGGUAAACGGCGGCCGUAACUAUAACGGUCCUAAGGUAGCGAAAUUCCUUGUCGGGUAAGUUCCGACCUGCACGAAUGGCGUAAUGAUGGCCAGGCUGUCUCCACCCGAGACUCAGUGAAAUUGAACUCGCUGUGAAGAUGCAGUGUACCCGCGGCAAGACGGAAAGACCCCGUGAACCUUUACUAUAGCUUGACACUGAACAUUGAGCCUUGAUGUGUAGGAUAGGUGGGAGGCUUUGAAGUGUGGACGCCAGUCUGCAUGGAGCCGACCUUGAAAUACCACCCUUUAAUGUUUGAUGUUCUAACGUUGACCCGU